CCUACGGGAGGCAGCAGUGAGGAAUAUUGGUCAAUGGACGGAAGUCUGAACCAGCCAUGCCGCGUGCAGGAAGACGGCUCUAUGAGUUGUAAACUGCUUUUGUACAAGGGUAAACCUGAAUACGUGUAUUCAGCUGAAAGUACUGUACGAAUAAGGAUCGGCUAACUCCGUGCCAGCAGCCGCGGUAAUACGGAGGAUCCAAGCGUUAUCCGGAUUUAUUGGGUUUAAAGGGUGCGUAGGCGGAUUGAUAAGUUAGAGGUGAAAUGUCCGAGCUUAACUUGGGAACUGCCUCUAAUACUGUUGGUCUAGAGAGUAGAUGCGGUAGGCGGAAUGUAUGGUGUAGCGGUGAAAUGCUUAGAGAUCAUACAGAACACCGAUUGCGAAGGCAGCUUACCAAGCUAUAUCUGACGUUGAGGCACGAAAGCGUGGGGAGCAAACAGGAUUAGAUACCCGGGUAGUC
rnacentral:rRNA from 1 species